AAAAGUCUCUAUCGAGGUUAAAGGUACCCGUACCGCAAACCGACACAGGUGGGUGAGGAGAGUAUCCUAAGGCCAGCGAGAGAACUGUUGUUAAGGAACUCGGCAAAAUGACCCCGUAACUUAGGGAUAAGGGGUGCCACCAUCAGGUGGCCGCAGAGAAUAGGCCCAAGCGACUGUUUACCAAAAACAUAGGUUUCUGCUAAGUCGCAAGACGAUGUAUAGGAGCUGACGCCUGCCCGGUGCUGGAAGGUUAAGGGGAUCUGUUAGAG
rnacentral:rRNA from 1 species